AGUGAACGCUGGCGGUAGGCCUAACACAUGCAAGUCGAACGGCAGCACAGUAAGAGCUUGCUCUUACGGGUGGCGAGUGGCGGACGGGUGAGGAAUACAUCGGAAUCUACUUUUUCGUGGGGGAUAACGUAGGGAAACUUACGCUAAUACCGCAUACGACCUACGGGUGCAAGCAGUGGAUCUUCGGACCUUGCGCGAUUGAAUGAGCCGAUGUCGGAUUAGCUAGUUGGCGGGGUAAAGGCCCACCAAGGCGACGAUCCGUAGCUGGUCUGAGAGGAUGAUCGGCCACACUGGAACUGAGACACGGUCCAGACUCCUACGGGAGGCAGCAGUGGGGAAUAUUGGACAAUGGGCGCAAGCCUGAUCCAGCCAUACCGCGUGGGUGAAGAAGGCCUUCGGGUUGUAAAGCCCUUUUGUUGGGAAAGAAAAGCAGCAGGAUAAUACGCCGCUGUUCUGACGGUACCCAAAGAAUAAGCAACGGCUAACUUCGUG
rnacentral:rRNA from 1 species